rnacentral:lncRNA from 10 species
GAUUACAGGCAUGAGCCACCGCACCCGGCCACAAGUGUCUGAACAUUUAUAAUAUGAAGGCUCUACAUCUGACCCAACUGCCCAACACACACAGCGCCGCAGGUGUCAGCACAGGUGUGCAGAAAGACACACAGACAGUGGACAGCCCCCAGGACAGGCUCCAACCAAGCACCCAGAGACAGCCAGCCAGCCCCUGACCUCUGGGACACUGCCCAGUGGGGUAAGUGGGGCAAGCUGUGAACAGAUGUUGCCCAGUUCCCAUAGUAAGUGCCUCCAAGGACCGAAAGAGCCCAGGGAGGUGGCCACGGUGUGGCCACUCUACAGAACUUGGGCACAGAGACCCAAGGGGAUUCCAGGCUCCUGCCUACUCCACCACUUCCAGCUGGUGGUCUUGGGUGAGUGGUCUGUGGUCUCUGAGCCCAAAGGUGCAGGAAUGGUACCUAUGCCAAAGGGAUGCUGAGACUAACAAGGGACCUCACUGGGGUCCAUCCUGACACAUUAAAGGGCUCAGCAACCCAGAGCAGUACUAAUAAAGCUCCUACUAUGUGCUCUUGCUAGGUCUACACUUUGUCCAUACAGACAGUCUGGAGAGUUUCCAAAGCGUGUUGUUGUUGUUUUGUUGUUUUGAGAUGGAGUGGCGAGAUCUCAGCUCACUGUAACCUCUGCCUCCCGGGUUCAAGCGAUUCUCCUGCCUCAGCCUCCAGAGUAGCUGGGAUUACAGGCUUGCCCCACCACAUCCGGC